rnacentral:rRNA from 1 species
UGGGGAAUAUUGCACAAUGGGCGCAAGCCUGAUGCAGCCAUGCCGCGUGUGUGAAGAAGGCCUUCGGGUUGUAAAGCACUUUCAGCGAGGAGGAAGGGUAGUGUGUUAAUAGCACAUUGCAUUGACGUUACUCGCAGAAGAAGCACCGGCUAACUCCGUGCCAGCAGCCGCGGUAAUACGGAGGGUGCAAGCGUUAAUCGGAAUUGCUGGGCGUAAAGCGCACGCAGGCGGUUUGUUAAGUCAGAUGUGAAAUCCCCGCGCUUAACGUGGGAACUGCAUUUGAAACUGGCAAGCUAGAGUCUUGUAGAGGGGGGUAGAAUUCCAGGUGUAGCGGUGAAAUGCGUAGAGAUCUGGAGGAAUACCGGUGGCGAAGGCGGCCCCCUGGACAAAGACUGACGCUCAGGUGCGAAAGCGUGGGGAGCAAACA